UACGGAGGGUGCAAGCGUUAUCCGGAUUCACUGGGUUUAAAGGGCGCGUAGGCGGGCAAGUAAGUCAGGGGUGAAAUCUCCGGGCUUAACCCGGAAACUGCCAUUGAUACUAUUUGUCUUGAAUACUGUGGAGGUCAGCGGAAUAUGUCAUGUAGCGGUGAAAUGCGUAGAUAUGACAUAGAACACCAAUUGCGAAGGCAGCUGGCUACACAAAUAUUGACACUGAGGCACGAAAGCGUGGGGAUCAAACAGG
rnacentral:rRNA from 1 species